GAUGAACGCUGGCGGCGUGCCUAAUACAUGCAAGUCGAGCGAACGGACGAGAAGCUUGCUUCUCUGAUGUUAGCGGCGGACGGGUGAGUAACACGUGGAUAACCUACCUAUAAGACUGGGAUAACUUCGGGAAACCGGAGCUAAUACCGGAUAAUAUUUUGAACCGCAUGGUUCAAAAGUGAAAGACGGUCUUGCUGUCACUUAUAGAUGGAUCCGCGCUGCAUUAGCUAGUUGGUAAGGUAACGGCUUACCAAGGCAACGAUGCAUAGCCGACCUGAGAGGGUGAUCGGCCACACUGGAACUGAGGCACGGUCCAGACGCCUACGGGAGGCAGCAGUAGGGAAUCUUCCGCAAUGGGCGAAAGCCUGACGGAGCAACGCCGCGUGAGUGAUGAAGGUCUUCGGAUCGUAAAACUCUGUUAUUAGGGAAGAACAUAUGUGUAAGUAACUGUGCACAUCUUGACGGUACCUAAUCAGAAAGCCACGGCUAACUACGUG
rnacentral:rRNA from 1 species